rnacentral:rRNA from 1 species
CAGUAGCCGCGGGAAUACGUAGGUGGCAAGCGCUGUCCGGAAUUAUUGGGCGUAAAGGGCUCGCAGGCGGUUUCUUAAGUCUGAUGUGAAAGCCCCCGGCUCAACCGGGGAGGGUCAUCGGAAACUGGGAAACUUGAGUGCAGAAGAGGAGAGUGGAAUUCCACGUGUAGCGGUGAAAUGCGUAGAGAUGUGGAGGAACACCAGUGGCGAAGGCGACUCUCUGGUCUGUAACUGACGCUGAGGAGCGAAAGCGUGGGGAGCGAACAGGAUUAGAUACCCCAGUAGUCCCUGUCUCUUAUAC